rnacentral:rRNA from 1 species
ACUCAAAUGAAUAGACGGGGGCCCGCACAAGCAGCGGAGCGUGUGGUUUAAUUCGAUGCAACGCGCAGAACCUUACCUCGGCUUGACAUGCACGUGGUACCAACCUGUAAGGGAAGGGACCCGCGAGGGAGCGUGCACAGAUGCUGCAUGGCUGUCGUCAGCUCGUGCCGUGAGGUGUUGGGUUAAGUCCCGCAACGAGCGCAACCCUUGUCCUUAGUUGAAUUCUCUAGGGAGACCGCCGGUCUAAACCGGAGGAAGGUGGGGAUGACGUCAAGUCAGCACGGCUCUUACGUCGAGGGCUACACACACGCUACAAUGGCCGGUACAACGGGCUGCCAAGGGGCGACCUGGAGCUAAUCCCACCAAAGCCGGUCUCAGUUCGGAUCGCAGGCUGCAACUCGCCUGCGUGAAGUCGGAGUUGCUAGUAACUGCUGGUCAGCACACACCGCCCGU